rnacentral:rRNA from 1 species
UACAGAGGUCCCAAGCGUUGUUCGGAUUCAUUGGGCGUAAAGGGUGCGUAGGUGGCGUCGUAAGUCGGGUGUGAAAUCUCGGGGCUUAACUCCGAAACUGCAUUCGAUACUGCGGUGCUUGAGGACUGGAGAGGAGACUGGAAUUUACGGUGUAGCAGUGAAAUGCGUAGAUAUCUGGAGGAACACCGGUGGCGAAGGCGGCAUCCUGGACCGGUAUUGACACUGAGGCGCGAAAGCCAGGGGAGCAAACGGG